rnacentral:rRNA from 1 species
ACUUUGGGGAGGGGGAUUUUUUUGAACCUAACCUUGAAGUGCACUUCUUCGCUUGGCAGGUUAGCGUCGAUUUUGAACGUCAUAAAAUGAUUGGGGGAAGGUAGCUCUUUCGGGAGUGUUAUAGCCCUUAAUUAAUGUGAUAUUUGGGAUCGAGGAUUGCAACGGAUGCCUUUUUAGGCUUAGCCGCCUGGCCUCUGAUUCGAUGUCGGGUUAUAGACAGCACGCUGACUAUGAUCUGAUUAUUGGUCAAAAGGUUAGAGCGAGCAUAAAUUCGUUAAGG